AUGUACAAUUUCAAACAAGAAAGAAAAGCACUAGUGGAAACAUACACAAACGGCUUACACGAGGGUAAGCAAUAGCCAUUAGUGAAAGAAAAAGGAAACUAAACAUUCACUUGUACUAUGAUUCAUUUUUGAUCAUAUACAUUGCAUUCAUCUUGUUCAUUUUCGAAUUCCUUACAUUUUAUUUCAUCACUUCUUUCUUACAUCACAUUUACCUCAAAAUACACAUUACAUUCUUUUCUUUACAUUACUAGUCAUCAAAUACAGAAGAUGAACAUAAGGUAGCUACUAUCAAAAUGUAACCCGACUUUGGUGGCCUCUGACUAAGGCGCGAUACCUUUACCUCGGUCGCUCGCCGGCUCGCUCGGUCCCGG
rnacentral:lncRNA from 1 species